rnacentral:rRNA from 1 species
ACGGAAGGCAGCAGUGAGGAAUAUUGGUCAAUGGGCGGAAGCCUGAACCAGCCAAGUCGCGUGAAGGAAGACGGUAUUAUGUAUUGUAAACUUCUUUAGACGCAGAGAAAUAAGGUGCUCGCGAGCACUGAUGCUAGUAUGCGUAGAAUAAGGAUCGGCUAACUCCGUGCCAGCAGCCGCGGUAAUACGGAGGAUCCGAGCGUUAUCCGGAUUUAUUGGGUUUAAAGGGUGCGCAGGCGGCGCUUUAAGUCAGUGGUCAAAUCGUGAGGCUCAACCUCAUCCCGCCAUUGAUACUGGAGCGCUUGAUUGCGGUUGAGGGAGGCGGAAUUCGUCGUGUAGCGGUGAAAUGCAUAGAUAUGACGAAGAACCCCGAUUGCGUAGGCAGCUUACCAAGCCGUAAAUGACGCUCAUGCACGAAAGUGCGGGGAUCGAACAGGAUUAGAUACCCUGGUA